AACUGCAAGGCGAACCAUAUAUCUUGAGACAGACAGAGGUCGUCGGAACGAUUGGUGGAGUGGUGAAAUGCGUUGAUAUCAAUCGGAACGCCGAAGGAGAAGUCAGGCGACUGGGUCUGUUCUGACGCUGAGGUACGAAAGCGUGGGUAGCGAACGGGAUUAGAUACCCCGGUAGUCCACGCCGUAAACGAUGUGCACUAGGUCGAGGGCGUUCUGACGCGACUCUCGGCCGAAGCGAAAGUGUUAAGUGCACCGCCUGGGGAGUACGGUCGCAAGGCUAAAACUCAAAGGAAUUGACGGGGGCUCACACAAGCGGUGGAGCAUGUGGCUUAAUUCGAAGCAACGCGAAGAACCUUAUCCUAGGUUUGACAUACACGGAUUAGCUAUAAGAAACUAUAGUGACACCUUCGGGUGGAACGUGAACAGGUGCUGCAUGGCUGUCGUCAGCUCGUGCUGUGAAGUGUCGGGUUAAGUCCCUUAACGAGCGCAACCCUUAUCGUUAGUUGCUAACAGGUAAUGCUGAGGACUCUAGCGAGACUGCCGGUGUUAAACCGGAGGAAGGUGGGGAUGACGUCAAGUCCGCAUGGCCUUUAUGCCUAGGGCUGCACACGUGCUACAAUGGCAAGUACAGAACGAUGCAUACCGCGAGGUGGAGCAAAUCGCUAAAGCUUGCCCCAGUUCGGAUUGCAGGCUGCAACUCGCCUGCAUGAAGUUGGAAUCGCUAGUA
rnacentral:rRNA from 1 species